AGUGAACGCUGGCGGCGUGCCUAAUACAUGCAAGUCGAACGGAGUGGCGCACGGGUGAGUAAUGUAUAGCUAAUCUGCCCUACACUAGAGGACAACAGUUGGAAACGACUGCUAAUACUCUAUAGUGUAGGAUGAGGCUACAUUGUAUCAGCUAGUUGGUGAGGUAAUGGCUCACCAAGGCUAUGACGCAUAACUGGUCUGAGCGGAUGAUCAGUCACGAUGGAACUGAGACACGGUCCAGACUCCUACGGGAGGGAGCAGUAGGGAAUAUUGCUCAAUGGGGGAGACCCUGAAGGAGCAACGACGCGUGGAGGAUGACACUUUUCGAAGCGUGAACUCCUUUUGUUAGGGUGGCGGUACCUAACGAAUAAGCACCGGCUAACUCCGUGCCAGCAGCCGCGGUAAUUC
rnacentral:rRNA from 1 species